CAGCAGCCGCGGGAAAACAGAGGGUGCAAGCGUUAAUCGGAAUUACUGGGCGUAAAGCGCGCGUAGGUGGUUUGUUAAGUUGGAUGUGAAAUCCCCGGGCUCAACCUGGGAACUGCAUCCAAAACUGGCAAGCUAGAGUAUGGUAGAGGGUGGUGGAAUUUCCUGUGUAGCGGUGAAAUGCGUAGAUAUAGGAAGGAACACCAGUGGCGAAGGCGACCACCUGGACUGAUACUGACACUGAGGUGCGAAAGCGUGGGGAGCAAACAGGAUUAGAUACCCCGGUAGUCCCUGUCUCUUAUAC
rnacentral:rRNA from 1 species